rnacentral:lncRNA from 1 species
AUCACAUGGACUCACCAAAAGCAUAAUGUCUAUCCAGGGUUGCUCGGAUGAAGGUUAUGUGAAAAGGUUCUCCGCCCACAUUGAAAAGAAACGGCCAGGUCGUGGUUUCGAAAACUAUCGCCAGGAACCAUAGACUCUUUUGGAGAGCUUAGAGACUCUUUGUCGCCAAUUUUAUGAGCUGCAGAAACCGACAGAAGAUGUUUCCCACCUGUUCACCGUUCACCAAAAAGAGGCCGAGAGCUUGAAGAUUUCGUAAAACGAUUCAAUCAGUCUGUAUUGGAAGUUGAGGAUCCCAGUGAAAAGUGAUAUCUGGCAAUGUGAAGACUCCGACCUGGUCCGCUGUCGACUCCUUUUCCAAAAACGUUCCUGAAACUUCUCAGCACUCCAGAGCAAAAGCCGACAACUAAUCGCCGCCCAGAGGAGUUGCGAGGCCAAACGAAGGCGCCGAGGGAAAGAUCUAAGGGAAAGAGCCUGAUACGAGGCGGGGACUAUAUAGGGAGGAAACGAGGUACAAGAGACCGAGCGAGAUCUCAAACGACCAGACGAUAGCGGCCUCGCACUCCGCCUCGCCGACCUGAGUUUACUUACCACCACUCAACGCCCUGUCGCCAAAUACUCUCGGAAAUUAAGCACGAAGAAUUAUCAAAUGGCCCGGAAGAUCAAGAACUGCCCCCAGAAGAGGAAACAUGAACAAAAUAUUUGAUUCCACGCGGGACAGGACAUAAUACUGAGGACUGUCUUUCAAACUGAAGAACAAAUUGCCAACCUCAUUAAAAGGGGUUACCUGAGAAAUAUGUAAUUGCUCGCCCAACAGCCAACUCCCCAGAAAGAAGUACGGCGUAAUAGACCAAUGCGGGCGAUAUACAAACGAUCCAGGAGGUUUCGGGAUCGGGCGGUAUUCGACUGCAUCCAGGAAAAGGCAUGCCAAGAGUGCCUAUUGACUGCCGAAGAAGAAGUCUACACCUCUCCUCGUCAUUGUUGCCUGACCAAACACCUAUCACCUUCAGCCAUGAUGAUUUGAGAGGCUUACACCUACACCACGACGAGGCUUGGUUGUCUCGGCCGUCAUCGCCAACUUCACCGCCCAGAGGAUCUUGAUCGAAACGGGAGCUCAGGUGGAUAUCUUGUUCAUCUCGGCAUUAAAAAGAAUGAAAAUUGCGACUGGACAAGAUUGCACCUUUUCCAUACCCCCCUGAUCGGAUUUGGAGGGAAUACGACGCACCCCUGGGUUGAUAACUUUCCGAUAACUCUGAGAACUGAACCCCACCAGGUCACCGUAUGGCAGGAUUUUCUUGUGUAGAUUGCCCCUGUCGCCCUAUACGCCAUCUUGGGACGGAGCCUACUUUAGGAGGUAUCAAGGCGAUCACCUCGACCAUUCACCGAAGCUAAAGUUUCCCACCCCAACGGGGAUAGGUGAAAUCAAGGGCGAUCAGAAAGUGGCCAGGCACGAGUCAUUUCAGCCAUGAGGGGUCAAAAACCUCCUCAGUUCCGCCCACUCAAUAAGCAAUUACAGAACAUGGGCGACGACACAGAGGAUACCAGAGAUGAAAACCGAGAACAACUUCACCCCCCCCCCCCAUGGCAGACCCUAAAGAAACUAAUAACACCAAACAUCUUGAAGAAAUCGUCCCAUCUCCAUACACCCAGAAUAUCCUGCUCGUCAUAUCUGAUCGGCACCAGAACUUACCCACGAGCUUCGUUCGCCUUGAUAAACUUUUGAAAGAAAACUCCGACGUCUUUGCCUAGUCACAGGAGCGUUCCUGGCAUGAUUCUGACGAUCGCCAUACAUAAGCUGUCGUCGACCCGAAACAUUCUCUAAUUCGCAAAAGCGAAGAAAGUUCGCCCCUGAACGUCUAAAAUCAUUGAAGACGAAGUGGAUAGCUCAUUAGAGCUAACGUUGUCCGAGAAGCCCACUAUCCGGAUUGGCUCGCCAAAUGUCGUAGUCGCCCCCCAAAAAGGAGGAAAAAUGGAGAGUAUUGUGUCGAUUCACCGACCUCAACAAGGCUUGCCCAAAAGAGUUUUCCCUUACCCAAAAUCGACACUUAAUAAUCGACGCCACCUCCAAGCACGAGCUCCUGAGUUUUAUGGACGCCUUCUCGGGAUAUCACCAGAUCAAAAUGUACCCUCCUGACAUUGAGAGACUUCUUUUAUCACAGAGCGGGGGUUAUAUGUUACAAAGUCAUGCCAUUCGGAUUGAAAAACGCUGGGGCACGUACCAGAGAUUAGUCAUAAGAUGUUCAAGGAACAAAUUGGAAGCCAUGCGCCAAGUAUAUAUAGAGUAUGCUAGUUAAAAGUCUCCGAUCUUCCGACCACAUCGCCCACCUUGAAAGAGAGUUAGCAAAAAAAUUUUUCCCUUGCCGUCGCCAUCGAAUGAGGUAAAUCCCGCCAAAUGAUCUUUGGAGUGUCGUCCGGAAAUUUUUUUAGGAUUUCUGGGUCACUAAGCGUGGAAUCGAGGUAAACCGGAUCAGAUCCAAGCCCGUUGCGAUGAGCUCGUCUAGAAAUAUCCGAGACGUACAGCAGUGACUGAGGCGAGUAGCCGCCCUCAAAGAUUUGUCUCCAAGUAUGCGGACAAGUGCCUCCCCUUCUUCAGAAUCUUAAGGAAAAGCCCGGCCUUUCAAUGGAACGAGGAAUCUGAAAAUGCAUUCCAAUCGCUGAAAGAGUAUCUCGGGUCUCGCCUUUACAUCACAAGUCCUCACCACAGCGAAGACCUGUACAAUAUUUAUCCAUUCGCCACCGCGGUGAGUGUGUGCUAAUCCGGAAGAAGGUCAGGUCCAAAGGCCAUAUGAAUACGUUAGAAAGUCUUAAUGGGUGCUCAGAGGCCAGGAUAUCCAAAGAUUGAAAAGCUCGCUACGCCCUAAUGAUCGCCGCCAGAAAAAUUUCUUACUUAAGCCCAUCCCAUCAUAGUACUGACUGAUCAACCAUUGAAGCAUUGUUCAGCGACCAGACACAUUUCGGUGACUCCUUAAAUGGUCCUCGAGCUACGUGAGUUCACAUGAGUACAAGUCGAGGCUGGCAAUAAAAGCUCAGGCACUGGCUGUUUCAUUGUCGAAUCACCCAUGAAGACACUCCACAACAGAAACGGCUCCUCUUGAAGCGGAUUCCUAAAGAAACCAACUCUAAAAAGGACCUCCCCAUGGAUAUUUUUCGUCGAUGCCUCUUCUAACCAGCACGGUUGUGUGCAGGGGUCGUCAUUACGGCCCAUCAGGCGAACAAAGAGUAGCCAUAAGAAUGAGGUUUAUUUUUUUUUUUUUUUUUUUUUUUUUUUUUUUUUUUUUUUUUUUUUUUUGUUAAGACACUAACAUGAAGCCGAGUACGAAGCCCUCUCGACGGACUAAGAAUGCAAACAAAGUUUGGAGCAAAUCUUGAGUCUUCAGUGAUCACAACUGGUGGAAAUCCAAGUCAAGGAGACUACCUCGCCAGGACGAAGGAUGAUGACUUAUUUGGGCGAGGUAAAGGCUGCGUCGCAAAGGAUCAAGGGUUAAAAUCACCAGAUCCCCGAGAGGAAAUAAAGGGAGACGCCUUGGCUAAUCUGGCAUCAAUGUUGAGUUUAUUUCUACAGGUGCAUACCUCUGAAGUCCUGCUAAACCCAAGCAUUGGGGCUAGCCAAUCAAUCCUCAAACGGAAGAAAAUCGAUGUGGUAUGACGAGUUAUUGCCUAUCUCCAGAGAGGGAUUGCCAAAAGAUAAGCCUCCAAGAUACGCCGUCUCCACUACAGAUACGCAAGGUUUUGCAUUUUCAAGGGCGAACUAUUACAAAAGGUCUUUUUAAGGACCACUCUUGGAAAUGUCUCCGACCAAAGAGGCCAAAGAGUUACGUUAUACGAAAAACACGAAGGCAUAUGCGGGUAUCACUCACGGAGCGAGGUCAUUGGCGGAGAAAACUAUUCGCCAAGGAUAUUUUGGUCGACCAUAGAACGAGAUGCGACAAGUGUCAGAGGUUUUGCCACGUCAGCCGUCUCCCUCACACCGAGAUGGUACCGAUGUCAGUCCUGGCAUUCGCCCAGGGGGAAUAUAACUUACUGGUCCCUACCACAAACUCCUUUGCAAAAAAAAUUUUUACUCGUCGCCAUAGACUAUUUACCUAAAUGGAUAGAAGCUCAGCCUCUCGCCAAGAUUACUGAGAAAAAUACCCGGGAUUCGUAUGGAACACCUGUUUGUAGAUUCGGAAUCCCAAAGGUUAUCAUCUCGGACAACGCAAGGCAGUUCGACAACGGACAGGUUUAGGUUAUUCUGCUCGGAUCUCGCCAUUUCCCAUCACUUCUCCUCGCCUGGUCAAUCUCAGGCUAAUGGGCAAGUGAAGUAACCAAUCGUACCAUCCUCAGGGAAUUUGAAGCGAGGUUAGAGGGUCAAAAAGGACUUUGCGUGGGCGGAAGACUUGCGAGCGUACUUUGGGCUUAUCAUACUACUAGCCGGAUUCCACGGGCGAAACUCCAUAUCCAUGGUCUUCGGUACGAAUCGGUCAUACCGGUUGGAAUAGGCAGCCAAACUGUCAGGACAUCGAAUUUCGACAAGAAGGCAAAUGAGGCAGAGCUCAGACUCAACUUGGACUUCAUGAGGAAAAAGAGAGAGGCCGAGGCUACGUUCAAUAUGGCCUAAAGUGCCAAGUCGCAAGGACUAUAAAUCAAAGGGUAAAAAAAAAACCGAUCAUCCUUCGGCGACCUGCGUCUUACGGAAGGUAACCCUGUCAACUAAAGAACCAAAUGCGGGAAGCUCGGCCCAAACGUGAGAAGUCCUUACAAAGUCGAUUAGAGUCUCCACGACCAGGGACUUACUGGUUAGAGACCAAAACGGAAAAGCGCUUUGACAUCCCUGGAAUGCCGAGCAUUUGAAAAAAUACUGUCAAUAAAAGUCACGAGACAAUCCAUUUAGAAAUGUUGCGAUCGCUUUAUGAUUUAUAUCGUCGUUUAUACAAAAGAUUGCUAGCGCCAUUGUUGAUGUCGCCAGUAUUAUGAUCGCCAAUCCGAUUACAGGUAAAUCCUGAUCGCCGAUACGAUGUCACCAAUAUUGAGAUCGCCAGUUCAAAACUAAAUGAAUCCCAAUUCAGAACAAAAUAGAUGCCCUAUAAUGAAGUCGCCACCCAUAUUAAAAUUUUCAGUUAUUGAGAUUUCACAUUACUCAUGAUCGCCAUUAGCACUCAACAAAAAACGGGAACAAAGAUAUUUUCAUUCAAAUGAACAAGAUAUAAAUCUCAAAAAAAAAAAAAAUUUUACACUCGGGGCAUUAUUUUGAUUACCGACCUAAGACCCGAACCAUCAAGCGAACAUUGCUCCCCUUAUCUUCAAUUCCGCUUGUUAUCAUACGACGUUGGUGUAUCCGUGUAGUUUUCACCUGAACCCCUCGUUCUCGCCCGUCUUCUUCGUGUCAUUUUCUCGAUGGGCCUAGUCUUGCUCAGCCAGCGAUCUGAUCGACCACAGUUCCUUCAAGGCGAUGGCGAGGUCGGGGUGAUGGUCGGUGAAGUUGCCACCGUGCCAGAAGUUAAACCCCUCGCCAAGUAUUUGGAGGCAGAAUCUCAACGGCCACCAGAACGCCUACGAGGGAUUCUGAACUCAUCCACGGCAGAUCCUUGGAUUUAUAAAGAGCUUCCCUCAGCUCGUUCACAACACUCCGAACCUCUCGAAAAAACUUGUCGGAUAGUGAAUCUCCGAUCACUCUUCGCCUGGCGAGCUCAUCAUUGGCCUGCUGCUCACGAACACGGGACUCGGCAGUUGCUGUUCCAGAUCAGCAGGCAAUCUUCUGGAGGCGAGCAAUUUCGGUUUCCAUUGGAAGCAGGCUCGCCCCUCUUGAAGAGAUGCCAGCUCCCGUCUCCCUGACCUCCGGACAUCCAAAGACGAACCGAAGCACCAACGCCCCAUUGAUAUAAGAAAGGAAACCAUUUUUUAGCAAUCCAUAGUUAGUUAAAUCGAUUAGAACAGAUUGAAAAGACUCCGAAAAUACCUGACCGGAUCACAUGAAAAAACUAGGUCGCCGUCUUGAUAGCACAAGACGAGGCUUCUCCCCUUCUCCUUAGCGGCUGCGCGGGAAAUCAACCCACGCGAGAACUUCUCGGCCACCGAAGGGCGCCCAACAUAGAGGCCGUGGGCCAGCCGACCGUGCGAGGAUAGCGAGGAACCUGCCACGGGCGAGGAGAUGCGGUGGCUGGGAGUGGGUCGGAGCUUUGCUCGACGACGUCGCUUUUCUUGGCUUCAGGGGCGAUGUCGACUCACUUGUCCCUUCGAGCCGUCAUCAGCCUUCCCCUUUUGCUGAGCGAGCUGGUGAUGCUCUCUCCGGGGCCGCUUGUUCUCCAAUUAAGAAUCCUUUCGCAGCAAGACUGGGGUCACCGAGCUCGGCACCCGCCGCGUCUCCGGAGCUUCUCGCCAAUCUUUUUAAAGCCUCACUCUCUUUCGACGCUAGCUGCCAACAAACAUACGAUAGAUAAGGAAAGUAAUCAUCGCCUAGAAAAAAGACAGGGUCCCAGACCAGCCGAUUUCAAACUCGACGGGUAGACUCGAGUCGAACAAGAUUGCCGACGAGAAGUCGAGCUCAGAGCAUUUCGAAGAAAUAUCUAGUAUAGGAUCCAGAACCUUUCCCCCUGACCACCUCAAAGAGUCAGAUCGGGGGAAUGUGAGGUAGCAACCUCCUAAAGUGUGUUCUGAUGGAUCAGACACUCGAUGAAUCGUCCUCGUGAAGGGCUUCUCGCCGAGCUUGAUCAUGGGAAUUUUUGGACUCACCCACGUCGCUGGAAGAAUCGGAGCUCUCCGCUCGGAAGAUUGUCGCCCGCUGUCCUCGACGCCCUAGAACCAGGGGAGCCAAAUACUCGGCCAAACGACUUUGAGAGUCCAGCACAGACAAUGGUACGUGAAAAGCGCCCGGACCUUCCAAAACGACCGAAAAAAAAUCCAUCGAAAACCUUCGUCUCGUCGCCAAAAAGUCGAGGUGGAGUUAUUCAAUGCUAUAUGCAAAGGCCAACGCAGAGACCCACCCGAGCAUUCAAAGAAUACGAAAACAGGGUAGAAAGGGAAGAGCGCCGACCUGGAAUUCCCCACUCCUCGGAACUCUUGGGGCGCCCACCGGAGAAGUCCCUGCGGGAAUCUCCCAUUCCAUCCCAGAGACGAGAAGAACUUGCUCUUCCACCCACUUGACGUUGCUGGGGUAUCCUCCGAAGCAUAACCUUCUUGGUUCCUCGCCGUGAGAUAGCCAUCCUUGGUCCGGUUUAGGAUUACUAUUUAAACUAAACAAGUCCUAAACUGGAAAGGGAGAUGUUGUAUUGUUACCCCGAACAACGCCAUAGAGCCAAGAAAUGCUUCUCCAUGCGUUGGGCACGAGCUGGGAUGGGCAGAGGUUGUAGAAUUGAAGCAUUACAUAAUGGUAUUGUGAAGGGGGGGGAAAAACGAAGGCCAGCGGGAACGCGGCCUCGUACAAAAGCUACCUCGCCCGGACGGGUAGAGUGAUGCGUCUCCCCUUCGUCGGAACCUUGCCCGCACCGGGAGGAAAAGAAUAAGUUUCCAUAAGAGCGUUUAGCUCCU